rnacentral:rRNA from 1 species
UACAGAGGUCCCAAGCGUUGUUCGGAUUCAUUGGGCGUAAAGGGCGCGUAGGCGGACAGUUUAGUCAGAGGUGAAAGCCCAGGGCUCAACCUUGGAACUGCCUUUGAUACUGGCUGUCUUGAGUUCGGGAGAGGUGAGUGGAAUGCCGAGUGUAGAGGUGAAAUUCGUAGAUAUUCGGCGGAACACCAGUGGCGAAGGCGACUCACUGGCCCGAUACUGACGCUGAGGCGCGAAAGCGUGGGGAGCAAACAGG